UGCAGCGUACAGAUACCGUGGAAAAACCCAAGUGCACGAGACACUCACACAACUGAUAUCCGGAGUUAAACGCUUCGAAGCCAUCGUGUGACAAUGAACCUAUUCGUUCUCGUGGCUCUUACUAUUUGCUUGGUUUCAGCGGAUCGUCCCAAUGCCUGCUACAUGGCUCCUGCUAAAGGCCCGUGCAAGGCAAAAAUCACGAGGUUCUACUUCAAUCCAAGAUCUCUGGAUUGCCUGAAAUUUAUCUACGGAGGAUGUGGGGGAAACGGCAAUAAUUUUGCCACAUAUCAAGCGUGCAUGAAAACGUGUAAAUAUUCUGCAGCUCCUUCUAGUAACAUCACCUGACCUUGAUCUUGUGUUUGGAGAACCUGAUACGCAUUCCGGUGACAGUCUCGUAAAUUUUUCAGCUACAGAUACAGGGUGUUUCACCUAAGGUGAUAAAAAAUGAUAACUGGCGACGUACUCGCCGGAGGAUUGUGGAACUUUGGGCAAUUGCCUUCUGGGAACUUUUUCCGCUAUUUAGGAAGGCUUUUGACACGUUUUUACUUGACGGAAAUUUAUUUGUUUCAAUCGGACUUUGAAAAUUCCCAAGUGAACCUCACUUUUUUACACAAAUAUGAAGUCCUCCACGGACAGCCAGAGACCCAACAAAAACUAUGCACAGCAUCGCAACAGAAAUCGACUAAAAAAUAAUAAAGUUUCGCUUUUGGCCACGCCUGCUUGAUUGUCGCAAAGAAGAGCGCACGGAAAAUGCUGGGAGAGGAGGAAGUGUUCCCGCCUCUUGUUUUUCCUUUCGUACCUAUGCGUUGACCUUGAUGCUGGUGAUAACCGUCUUAUCAAAAAGAAAUCUAAAUAACCGUCUUAUCACAAAGAUCACGCCCGAUUCUUUGCGAAAAUCAAGCAGGCGGCGCUAAAGCGUAAUUAUUACUAAUUUUUUUCGACUAUUCCUGUCGCGAUACCGUGCAUAGUUUUGGUUGAGUCUGCGCUUAUCCGUGGU